UCCUGGCCGCCCGGAUCGCUCCUCUGGAUCAGACUGGAGGCUGGGAUCUCGGUGAUCUCCGACUUCAGUUCUUGGAACCCACGAUCUUCGAAUCUCCAACUGGACGCUGGGGGCAAUAGAAACCGUUAGUCCGGACUGUGCAAAUCGCCGAAAAGAAAGCUGUGGCAAUGUAAACAUCACAUGCAAUCUCUACAUUCUGUUUUCACUUUCAAAAUAGUUAUAGAGGGAAAAAAAAGGUUCCUUCCAAUUGGAAAGACUUCUUGGAAUGGGACUCACCACGUCCAUCAGGCUGCGUUCUCUGGCGAGAGGACGACCCGCUACAGCCGACAAUUCGCGAAUAAUGAAUCUAAAUGAGCUCUUGCAACCCUGAGAUGACGGGAAUCCUCCUUGGUGGCACCUCAGGGAUUAAGACUUCCAUAGCAUCAUUCUGAAAAGGUUUAGUCUACUCGUCAUACUCAGCCACUACCAGCUUCAGCUGUUGGCACAGACCAUCAUUUGUUCGAACUUAUAGUGACUGAUGUUGUGGAAAAUGAAGUUUGCAGUACUGACCUCUUGUGAAACAAGCCCCAAAAGUUCAUACCAGGCUGCCGCUGUACCCCUGUGAUCUCAACAGGACUUGAACAGAUCUGCAGACCAUCAAUCUAUGACUGUGGGGAAGAACAGAGAAAAAAAAAAACUGUAUAAACACUAAAGUUUUAUAACAAAAGGAAAA